CAUCCUAAGAGUUGUGUUUAAUGGUGCCAGAAGUCAGCAUGGCUUGUUGAGAUCUUAGACUCCACCACUGCUGAGGAUCACAGAGAAGUCAAUCCAGAAAGAUGUGAGAGAAGGAGGUCUCGGAUUGGAGGAACAAUUUGUCUAACACCCCUCUCAGCUGGGAAUGGGGACGUUUGCAGCAGCCUGGCUCACACUGGACUCUGACCUAACAGAAGCAGAAUUCUCCGCUGCCAGCACCCCAAGUUCUCCAUUCCUUCUUGAUAAACAUUUCCUUUGAGUUGGUGAGAAGGAAAACUUACAUCCUAGUUGCUAUCAGAGCCAAGAUUUCUAAUGCACAGAGUG